ACUUUAUAAAUUAUUAUAAUUUAAUUGAUUUAGUGUAUAAAAAUUUUAUUGUAAUGUUAUAUUUUGUUGGGGCGACAUAGGUAUAAAUAAAAUAACUGCUUAAAUUUAAAACAUUUAUAAUUGAAAUUUUUAAAUGAUCCUUAAUUAAAGAUUUAAGAUUAAGUU
rnacentral:rRNA from 1 species